AUGUGCCUGCCAUCUUCUGAUGAAGAUAAGGUGAAGCUGAAUUUCAAAAGUUUUAGAGAAGAAAACCUGACUAAACCACAGUUUCAAGUUGGCCAGACCUUUGGAUCUGUUGAGUUCCCGAGGAAAGCUAUCAAAGAGUACAGCUGUCAGGAGAGAGUUGACAUUAAAUGCCCCAGAAAUGAUAGGAAAAGACUGAAUGUCAUUUGUGAAGAUGGGUGCCCUUGGACCUUGUCUGCAUCAUUUGAUGGGAGAAUCAACUUCUUCAUGAUCAAGAAAUACAACCCAAAGCAUGCAUGCAUAAAGAAAUGGUGUGUUAAGUCAUUCACUGCUCCUUUUAUGGCUGGAAAAUAUCUUGAUUCUUUUAGAGCAGAUGAAAACAUGAAUAUGAAAUUUUUUGCAAGGGUGGUUCAGAAAGAUUGGAACAUGACAACAAUAAGAAGCAAGCUUAGAAGGGCUAAGAGGCUAGUGAAGAAAGUGAUUGAAGGAGAUGAGUUGGAGCAGUACAGCAGCAUGUGGGAUUAUGCACAAGAAUUCAAAAGAUCAAACCCAGGGAGUUCUUUCUACGUGGGUGUCAGUAAUGGCAUAUUUGCAAGUUGUUAUUUCUCUCUAGAUGCCUGCAAAAGGGGUUUCAUGCAAGCUUGUAAGCCUGUCAUUUGUUUGGAUGGAUGCCACCUGAAGACAAAGUAUGGAGGUGUUAUGUUGUGUGCUAUUGGCAUGGAUCCUAAUGACUGCAUUUACCCCAUAGCUUUUGCAGUUGUUGAGGUAGAGAACACUGACACAUGGAAAUGGUUUCUGUCAAAUCUGAAGAGUGACUUGGGAAUUGUAAACACAGACCCAUGGACUAUAAUGUCAGACAAGCAAAAGGUCCUGAUCAAGGGAGUGAGGCAGCACUUUCCUAAUGCAAAGCACAAACACUAUGUUAGGCAUAUUUGGCAGAAUUUGCAGCAAACACACAAAGGAGAUCUUCUUAAGAACCAGUUAUGUAAGUGUGCAAGGAGCACAAUACCAGAACUUUGGGCUGCAAGAAUGGAGGAAAUGAAGGUCAUAAGCCUAGAAGCAUAUAAGUGGCUUGAGCAGCUACCACCCAACACUUGGUUUAGGGGCUUCCAAAGAGAAUUGGUCAAGUGUGAUAUCCUUCUGAACAACAACUGUGAGGUUUUCAACAAAUAUAUUCUUGAGGCUAGGGAGAUGCAUCUCAGAUCAAUGAUUGACAAGAUCAAAACACAGCUCAUGGUCAGGUUCUACAACAAAAGAAAGGAGGCAGAGACCUGGCCUAGCUCAAUAUGCCCAAAAAUUAGGAAAAGAAUUGAGAAGAAUAUAGAGUUGUCAUCUACAUGCAUGAUUUCAGGGGCUGGUGAUGGCAUCUUUCAGAUUGACAACAGGAACAGGACAUACAUUGUUGACCUGAAGGAAGAAAGCUGUACAUGCAAAAGGUGGGAUCUUAGUGGAGUUCCAUGUCACCAUGCAAUUGCAUGCUGCAGACAUGAGAGGAUUGAUCCUGAGAGUUUGGUGCAUUCUUGUUACAGUAUAGAAGCAUUCAAGCUAUCAUACAAACCCAUUAUCAAGCCUUGCAGAGAUAGGAGUGAGUGGCAGAAGACGAAUGGCUAUGAAAUCAAGCCACCUGUCUUUGAAAAAAAAGUAGGGAGGCCUUCAAACAAGAGUAGGAGAAAGCAGCCUUAUGAGAUUGAAAAGAAAGAUGGUACCAAGGUGAUGAGCAGACAUGGAAUCACAAUAACAUGUUCAUACUGCCACGAAACAGGCCACAACAUCAAAGAAUGUAAUCUCAAAAAGGCUGGCAUUUUUCCAAAUCUAGCAGAGAGAACAACAAGAAGGGAUCCAAGGGCCAUUCCUGAUGAUGUGUUAGAUGAUGAAACUGUUUUGGCAUAA
rnacentral:rRNA from 1 species